GACGAACGCUGGCGGCGUGCUUAACACAUGCCAGUCGAACGGAAAGGCCCUGCUUUUGUGGGGUGCUCGAGUGGCGAACGGGUGAGUAACACGUGAGUAACCUGCCCUUGACUUUGGGAUAACUUCAGGAAACUGGGGCUAAUACCGGAUAGGAGCUCCUGCUGCAUGGUGGGGGUUGGAAAGUUUCGGCGGUUGGGGAUGGACUCGCGGCUUAUCAGCUUGUUGGUGGGGUAGUGGCUUACCAAGGCUUUGACGGGUAGCCGGCCUGGGAGGGUGACCGGGCACAUUAGUACUGAGAUACGGCGCAGACGCCUACGGGAGGCAGCGGGGGAGAAUAUUACACAGUGGGCGGAAGCCAGAUGCAACAACGCCGCGUGCGGAAUAACGGCCUUCGGGUUGUGAACCGCUUUCGCCUGUGACGAAGCGUGAGUGACGGUAAUGGGUAAAGAAGCACCGGCUAACUACGUG
rnacentral:rRNA from 1 species